GACAGAGGUGCCAAGCGUUAGGCGGAAUCACUGGGCUUAAAGCGUGUGUAGGCGGAUCGUUAAGUGCCUUGUGAAAUCCCACCGCUCAACGGUGGAACUGCUUGGCAUACUGGCGGUCUUGAGCCGGCUAGGGGCGACUGGAACAAACGGUGGAGCGGUGAAAUGCGUAGAUAUCGUUUGGAACGCCAAUGGUGAAAACAGGUCGCUGGGGCCGUGCUGACG
rnacentral:rRNA from 1 species